UCUACCUUUCACAGAGGGAUAGCCCAGAGAAAUUUGGAUUAAUACCUCAUGGUAUUAUAGAGUGGCAUCACUUUAUAAUUAAAGUCACAACGGUGAAAGAUGAGCAUGCGUCCCAUUAGCUAGAUGGUAAGGUAACGGCUUACCAUGGCUACGAUGGGUAGGGGUCCUGAGAGGGAGAUCCCCCACACUGGUACUGAGACACGGACCAGACUCCUACGGGAGGCAGCAGUGAGGAAUAUUGGUCAAUGGGCGCAAGCCUGAACCAGCCAUGCCGCGUGCAGGAUGACGGUCCUAUGGAUUGUAAACUGCUUUUGUACGAGAAGAAACAACAUUACGUGUAAUGUCUUGACGGUAUCGUAAGAAUAAGGAUCGGCUAACUCCGUGCCAGCAGCCGCGGUAAUACGGAGGAUCCGAGCGUUAUCCGGAAUCAUUGGGUUUAAAGGGUCCGUAGGCGGUUUAGUAAGUCAGUGGUGAAAGCCCAU
rnacentral:rRNA from 1 species